rnacentral:misc_RNA from 1 species
AAGUCGUAACAAGGUUUCCGUAGGUGAACCUGCGGAAGGAUCAUUAUAGUCGAGGAGCUCCGGCUCCUUGGAGGGAAAACCCUUGCCUUUUCGAGCACCUGUUUGUUUCCUCGGCAGGCCUGCCUGCCAAUGGGGACCCCUUGAAACUCUUGCAAUAACCUGUAUGAAAUCGUCUGAACAAAACAAAUCAAAACUUUCAACAACGGAUCUCUUGGUUCUG